rnacentral:rRNA from 1 species
AACGUAGGAGACAAACGUUAUCCGGAGUUACUGGGCGUAAAGGGCGUGUAGGUGGUUGAGUAAGUUUGGCGUGAAAUUUUUCGGCUUAACCGGGAAAGGUCGUCGGAUACUGCUUGACUAGAGGACGGUAGAGGCGUGUGGAAUUCCGGGUGUAGUGGUGAAAUGCAUAGAGAUCAGGAGGAACACCAGUGGCGAAGGCGGCACGCUGGGCCGUACCUGACACUGAUGCGCGACAGCAUGGGGAGCAAACAGG